rnacentral:misc_RNA from 1 species
GAUGAAGAACGUAGCGAAAUGCGAUAAGUAGUGUGAAUUGCAGAAUUCAGUGAAUCAUCGAAUCUUUGAACGCACAUUGCGCCCUUUGGUAUUCCUUAGGGCAUGCCUGUUCGAGCGUCAUUUAAACCUUCAAGCUAAGCUUGGUGUUGGGUGACUGUCCGCUUCACGGCGGACUCGCCUCAAAAUUAUUGGCGGCCGGUACAUUGGCUUCGAGCGCAGCAGAAACGCGAACUCGGGCCCGUCGUAUUGGCUCCCAGAAGCUAUCUUCACAAUUUUGACCUCGGAUCAGGUAGGGAUACCCGCUGAACUUAAGCAUAUCAAUAAGCGGA